rnacentral:rRNA from 1 species
UACAGAGGGUGCGAGCGUUAAUCGGAAUUACUGGGCGUAAAGCGUGCGUAGACGGUUUUGUAAGUCGGGUGUGAAAUCCCCGGGCUCAACCUGGGAAUUGCAUUCGAGACUGCAAGGCUUGGGUGCGGAAGAGGGAAGCGGAAUUUCCGGUGUAGCGGUGAAAUGCGUAGAUAUCGGAAGGAACAUCAGUGGCGAAAGCGGCUUCCUGGUCCAGCACCGACGUUCAGGCACGAAAGCGUGGGGAGCAAACAGG